ensembl:lncRNA
UAAAUGGACGACCCUCGUCCCGCCCUCAGGGGGCAUCUGUAAUCACACCACCAGGGUUUUAACCAUAACUAGAGCCGCUGGUUCAGGCGUAGACGUGCUACGGGACACUUCUGUCGAGGUUGGAGCCUAAAUCCCAGGACAAACUAACGUGUCAGUCCUCUCUGUUUCCACUGACGCUCUGAUGGAGUUUGUUUGAUUGUCUGGUUAUAAUCACAGACGGUAAGUCUGUCAGAUUUAAGACAUGUAGAACAACAUAACAGUAACCCAAAGACUCCAGUGGAGAUCCCAGCCACACAAACAUCUGCACGAAGCCUCUCGAGUGCUCAGAGUGUGGACGUCCCUGUAAGUUGAUGCUUAGGACAUGAUGCGUUUCUGGUCCCUGCUGCUGCUGGUUCACUUCUCUCUGGCUCAGUCUGGUCUGGACUCAGAGUACACAGACACAGGUAAGAAGCGUCAUGGGCGCUCUGUCUAAAUGUGCUUUUGCUGACAAGC